rnacentral:rRNA from 1 species
GACAGAGGAUGCAAGCGUUAUCCGGAAUGAUUGGGCGUAAAGCGUCUGUAGGUGGCUUUUUAAGUCUGCCGUCAAAUCCCAGGGCUUAACCCUGGACAGGCGGUGGAAACUACCAAGCUGGAGUACGGUAGGGGCAGAGGGAAUUUCCGGUGUAGCGGUGAAAUGCGUAGAGAUCGGAAGGAACACCAGUGGCGAAGGCGGCUACCUGGCCGGAUACUGACACUGAAGCACGAAAGCGUGGGGAGCAAACAGG